GAAUCUGCCCUCAGGAGGGGGAUAACGGUUGGAAACGACCGCUAAUACCCCAUAUGCCGAGAGGUGAAAUGAAAUUCGCCUGAGGAUGAGCUCGCGUCUGAUUAGCUAGUUGGUAAGGUAAUGGCUUACCAAGGCAUUGAUCAGUAGCUGAUCUGAGAGGAUGAUCAGCCACACUGGGACUGAGACACGGCCCAGACUCCUACGGGAGGCAGCAGUGGGGAAUUUUCCGCAAUGGGCGCAAGCCUGACGGAGCAACGCCGCGUGAGGGAUGAAGGCCUCUGGGCUGUAAACCUCUUUUAUCAAGGAGGAAGAACUGACGGUACUUGAUGAAUAAGCCACGGCUAAUUCCGUGCCAGCAGCCGCGGUAAUACGGGAGUGGCAAGCGUUAUCCGGAAUUAUUGGGCGUAAAGCGUCCGCAGGCGGUUUUACAAGUCUGUCGUUAAAGCGUGGAGCUCAACUCCAUUUCAGCGAUGGAAACUGUAGACUCGAGUGUGGUAGGGGCAGAGGGAAUUCCCGGUAUAGCGGUGAAAUGCGUAGAUAUCGGGAAGAACACCAGUGGCGAAAGCGCUCUGCUGGGCCAUAACUGACGCUCAUGGACGAAAGCCAGGGGGGCG
rnacentral:rRNA from 1 species